rnacentral:tRNA from 2 species
GGCCGCGUAGCUCAGUUGGUAGAGCAGUUGACUUUUAAUCAAUUGGUCGUAGGUUCGAUUCCUACCGCGGUCA